AAAAGUAAUUGCGGGUUUUGCC
rnacentral:miRNA from 1 species